rfam:Schistocephalus solidus strain NST_G2 genome assembly, scaffold: SSLN_scaffold0004601
GGCCUCGUAGCUCAGUAGUCUAGAGCGUUGGCUGUACUUAAGCCUUCCUAUUGCUGGCGUGGGUUCGAAUCCCACCGAGGCCG